UACAGAGGGUGCGAGCGUUAAUCGGAAUUACUGGGCGUAAAGCGUGCGCAGGCGGUUUGUUAAGACAGAUGUGAAAUCCCCGGGCUUAACCUGGGAACUGCAUUUGUGACUGGCAAGCUAGAGUAUGGCAGAGGGGGGGUAGAAUUCCACGUGUAGCAGUGAAAUGCGUAGAGAUGUGGAGGAAUACCGAUGGCGAAAGGCAGCCCCCCUGGGGCCCAAUACUGUACG
rnacentral:rRNA from 1 species